rnacentral:rRNA from 1 species
ACGCUGGCGGCAGGCCUAACAUAUGCAAGUCGAGCGGUAGAGAGAAGCUUGCUUCUCUUGAGAGCGGCGGACGGGUGAGUAAUGCCUAGGAAUCUGCCUGGUAGUGGGGGAUAACGUUCGGAAACGGACGCUAAUACCGCAUACGUCCUACGGGAGAAAGCAGGGGACCUUCGGGCCUUGCGCUAUCAGAUGAGCCUAGGUCGGAUUAGCUAGUUGGUGGGGUAAUGGCUCACCAAGGCGACGAUCCGUAACUGGUCUGAGAGGAUGAUCAGUCACACUGGAACUGAGACACGGUCCAGACUCCUACGGGAGGCAGCAGUGGGGAAUAUUGGACAAUGGGCGAAAGCCUGAUCCAGCCAUGCCGCGUGUGUGAAGAAGGUCUUCGGAUUGUAAAGCACUUUAAGUUGGGAGGAAGGGCAGUUGCCUAAUACGUAACUGUUUUGACGUUACCGACAGAAUAAGCACCGGCUAACUCUGUGCCAGCAGCCGCGGUAAUACAGAGGGUGCAAGCGUUAAUCGGAAUUACUGGGCGUAAAGCGCGCGUAGGUGGUUUGUUAAGUUGGAUGUGAAAUCCCCGGGCUCAACCUGGGAACUGCAUUCAAAACUGACUGACUAGAGUAUGGUAGAGGGUGGUGGAAUUUCCUGUGUAGCGGUGAAAUGCGUAGAUAUAGGAAGGAACACCAGUGGCGAAGGCGACCACCUGGACUGAUACUGACACUGAGGUGCGAAAGCGUGGGGAGCAAAC